GACGAACGCUGGCGGCGUGCCUAAUACAUGCAAGUCGAGCGGACUUUCAAGAAGCUUGCUUUUUGAAAGUUAGCGGCGGACGGGUGAGUAACACGUGGGCAACCUGCCUGCAAGACGGGGAUAACUCCGGGAAACCGGGGCUAAUACCGGAUAAUAUCUUCCUUCGCAUGAAGGAAGGUUGAAAGGCGGCGCAAGCUGCCGCUUGCAGAUGGGCCCGCGGCGCAUUAGCUAGUUGGUGAGGUAACGGCUCACCAAGGCGACGAUGCGUAGCCGACCUGAGAGGGUGAUCGGCCACACUGGGACUGAGACACGGGCCAGACUCCUACGGGAGGCAGCAGUAGGGAAUCUUCCGCAAUGGACGAAAGUCUGACGGAGCAACGCCGCGUGAGCGAAGAAGGUCUUCGGAUCGUAAAGCUCUGUUGUCAGGGAAGAACAAGUACCGUUCGAACAGGGCGGUACCUUGACGGUACCUGACCAGAAAGCCACGGCUAACUACGUG
rnacentral:rRNA from 1 species